rnacentral:rRNA from 1 species
GACAGAGGGUGCAAACGUUGCUCGGAAUCACUGGGCGUAAAGGGCGUGUAGGCGGGACAGUAAGUCGGGCGUGAAAUCCCUGGGCUCAACCCAGGAACUGCACUCGAAACUACUAUUCUUGAGUGUCGGAGAGGAAAGCGGAAUUCCUGGUGUAGAGGUGAAAUUCGUAGAUAUCAGGAGGAACACCAGUGGCGAAGGCGGCCUCUCUGGGACGGUACUGGACGCUGAGA